CCUGGCUCAGGAUGAACGCUAGCUACAGGCUUAACACAUGCAAGUCGAGGGGCAGCAUGGUCUUAGCUUGCUAAGGCCGAUGGCGACCGGCGCACGGGUGAGUAACACGUAUCCAACCUGCCGUCUACUCUUGGACAGCCUUCUGAAAGGAAGAUUAAUACAAGAUGGCAUCAUGAGUCCGCAUGUUCACAUGAUUAAAGGUAUUCCGGUAGACGAUGGGGAUGCGUUCCAUUAGAUAGUAGGCGGGGUAACGGCCCACCUAGUCUUCGAUGGAUAGGGGUUCUGAGAGGAAGGUCCCCCACAUUGGAACUGAGACACGGUCCAAACUCCUACGGGAGGCAGCAGUGAGGAAUAUUGGUCAAUGGGCGAGAGCCUGAACCAGCCAAGUAGCGUGAAGGAUGACUGCCCUAUGGGUUGUAAACUUCUUUUAUAAAGGAAUAAAGUCGGGUAUGGAUACCCGUUUGCAUGUACUUUAUGAAUAAGGAUCGGCUAACUCCGUGCCAGCAGCCGCGGUAAUACGGAGGAUCCGAGCGUUAUCCGGAUUUAUUGGGUUUAAAGGGAGCGUAGAUGGAUGUUUAAGUCAGUUGUGAAAGUUUGCGGCUCAACCGUAAAAUUGCAGUUGAUACUGGAUAUCUUGAGUGCAGUUGAGGCAGGCGGAAUUCGUGGUGUAGCGGUGAAAUGCUUAGAUAUCACGAAGAACUCCGAUUGCGAAGGCAGCCUGCUAAGCUGCAACUGACAUUGAGGCUCGAAAGUGUGGGUAUCAAACAGGAUUAGAUACCCUGGUAGUCCACACGGUAAACGAUGAAUACUCGCUGUUUGCGAUAUACUGCAAGCGGCCAAGCGAAAGCGUUAAGUAUUCCACCUGGGGAGUACGCCGGCAACGGUGAAACUCAAAGGAAUUGACGGGGGCCCGCACAAGCGGAGGAACAUGUGGUUUAAUUCGAUGAUACGCGAGGAACCUUACCCGGGCUUAAAUUGCAGAUGAAUUACGGUGAAAGCCGUAAGCCGCAAGGCAUCUGUGAAGGUGCUGCAUGGUUGUCGUCAGCUCGUGCCAUGAGGUGUCGGCUUAAGUGCCAUAACGAGCGCAACCCUUGUUGUCAGUUACUAACAGGUUCCGCUGAGGACUCUGACAAGACUGCCAUCGUAAGAUGUGAGGAAGGUGGGGAUGACGUCAAAUCAGCACGGCCCUUACGUCCGGGGCUACACACGUGUUACAAUGGGGGGUACAGAGGGCCGCUACCACGCGAGUGGAUGCCAAUCCCCAAAACCUCUCUCAGUUCGGACUGGAGUCUGCAACCCGACUCCACGAAGCUGGAUUCGCUAGUAAUCGCGCAUCAGCCACGGCGCGGUGAAUACGUUCCCGGGCCUUGUACACACCGCCC
rnacentral:rRNA from 1 species